rnacentral:rRNA from 1 species
UACAGAGGCCUCGAGCGUUAGGCGGAAUCACUGGGCUUAAAGCGUGUGUAGGCGGACUUCUAAGUACCUUGUGAAAUCCCACGGCUCACCCGUGGAACUGCUUGGUAUACUGGUUGUCUUGAGCCUUCUAGGGGCGAGUGGAACAAGUGGUGGAGCGGUGAAAUGCGUAGAUAUCAUUUGGAACGCCAAUGGUGAAAACAACUCGCUGGGGAAGUGCUGACGCUGAGACACGAAAGCCAGGGGAGCGAACGGG